AAAAGUUCAUAAAGAAACGUACGCAUACACUUAUAUAUUUAUCGCAAUAUUUGUCAAACCUCUAUUGGAAGAUGCAGUAAUGAAAUGGACUGUUCUUUGUCAGAUUGAUCAUCUUCUUUCUGUUCAAGGCUUGCUUCUUCAUCGCACAUUUUAAAGUGGAAUGUCUAAGUCAAUCGUUAUUUUAAACAAAUCUUAUGCGAACAUAUUCAAUAUUUUAUAUAUAUAUAUAUAUAUAUGUAUAUAUAUUUAUACAAAGUGUUUUCGAAUAAAAGAGAUCAUCAAAAAAAUUGUAGAUAUUUCUAACACUCGUAGUAUUGUUAUGCUUAUAUUCUUUAUACACCUCUUCACCUUCUAUAGAUGCGCAUGACUCAUUCAAUCAUAGCAUAACACUUUCCUCAGAGUUUGUGAAACUCAAAACAGGGCCGACAACUUACAAUAUUAAAAAGAUUCACUUUAAGAAUCGAACAUAAUUUUUAUUUCUAAUAUUAAAAAUAUUUAUUAUUCCAGUAUUGAUUAAUGAAAAAAUAAUAAAAGAUUCUUGGAGAGGUACAAAAGGAGACAUCAGUGCUACAUAUGUAACAUAACUACAAAGUAUUAAUAUUAUUGUUGAUAAAGAAUGAAUAAUAUUUAAAUUUGAUGGUAUAAUCCAAAAUGUUAUAAAACAUGCAAUUGGAUUUGCAAAUUGUGCUAAAGUAACAGACAAUUGAUAUGUUAUAUUUCCAUAUGGUAAAGAAGAAUAUGAUUGUAUGCUUGGCAAAAAUCCAUUACCAAAGAAACAAAGGAAGCUCAUUAAAAUAACCAUUUGUAUUGCUAUUACUAUAUAAGUUGGUAAAGCUGAACCUUCAGGAGAACAAUGAAUGAGUAUUGGUAAUUGUACAAAAAUUCCAUUAACACCUAUCCAAGCAGAUAUACCAAACAGAACGAUGAGUAAAUGCAUAUAGCUGGAUCUGUUUUUUAAAUAUUCUUUGAUGUUAAUCGUUGUCAUUUUGAUGAAUUUCUAGGAAUAUGUAGAUAUCUUGGACCAAUUUGGAUGCAAGUUAGCCUCUGUUUGCAGCUAAUUAUGCCUACGUAAGUUAAAUUAUAAAUAAUACAUCAAUAAAUAAAAAUCUAUAAUUAAUAUUGCAAAACAAUUUAAUAUAUAAAAGCACAUGUAUCUGUUUUUCGAAAUAUUACCAUGAUGUUUAUAAUUUCUUAAUUUGCGUAUUUAAUAUAUAUAAAAAAAUAUUUAUAUAAGUGGAAUAGAUAAAAGUCACUAUUCAAAAUAUAUAUUCAAAAUAUAUGAUAGAAUAAUUACUUACUGAAUUUCCUGAUUGACCUUAUGCAGACAAAUAAAAUGUUAAAAUGAAUUCAUUUUCAUAGUUUUAUCAACUUAAUCAUUCAGAUUUGUCAGAUAAAACCUGUUUUAUCUGACAGAUACACGAGUCACAGCAAGAAUUUGAAUAUGAUAAUGUUAUCCCUAAAUCAAUAUUAAUUUUACUAGAGAUAUACUAUAGAGAAUCUUUAAAUACUUUGUAGAUAAUUUCAUAUAUUGUAUCUUAUGUAGAUAACGUACAAGGCCAGUUGUACACAUCUACUAAAAUUAAAAAAAUUUAUACAUAUGAAUAUAUCAUUUAUUUAUUUUAAAUAACUAUCACUGUGUGAUCUGAAUUAUGUCUAUUUACUUAACCGACUUGACAGGCAUUCAUUGUCAUUUUCUUUUCUAAUUCUGACAGACUGUAAGUAGUUUUAAUAGUUAAUUAAGUACUACUAUUAGAAACAUCACAUAAAACGUGAGAACUAUUUCUUUAUAUAAUUUGAAGAAAAAUCAAUGUACAUUAUCACAUGGAGAGUACGAAUGAAAGAUUUUCAUAUGAUUAACUAACACAAAUGUUAUUAUUGCACCUAUUAGAGAACCAAUUUGUGUAGCAACACCGGUAUAAUAUAAACCUCUACCUGGGUCUGGUCUGAAUAAAGUGGUAAUACCCAUUUUUAUAAAUCCUAUUAAACC